GAGUGGACUCCUACGGGAGGCAGCAGUAGGGAAUAUUGCGCAAUGGGGGAAACCCUGACGCAGCAACGCCGCGUGGAGGAUGACACUUUUCGGAGCGUAAACUCCUUUUGUUAGGGAAGAAUAAUGACGGUACCUAACGAAUAAGCACCGGCUAACUCCGUGCCAGCAGCCGCGGUAAUACGGAGGGUGCAAGCGUUACUCGGAAUCACUGGGCGUAAAGGACGCGUAGGCGGAUUAUCAAGUCUCUUGUGAAAUCUAGUGGCUUAACCACUAAACUGCUUGGGAAACUGAUAAUCUAGAGUAAGGGAGAGGCAGAUGGAAUUCUUGGUGUAGGGGUAAAAUCCGUAGAGAUCAAGAAGAAUACUUAUUGCGAAGGCGAUCUGCUAGAACUUAACUGACGCUAAUGCGUGAAAGCGUGGGGAGCAAACAGGAUUAGAUACCCUUGUAGUCCGA
rnacentral:rRNA from 1 species